GCGCUUCCAAAGAUCACCCCCUGCCCUUAUAUUAUACGGGCCGGCUUGCCGGCUAUGGCGAUAAACGUGCUGUGAAAUAAGCAGAGCGGACCCGGGGGCGGUACCCGGCGCCUCCACCAUUUCAGCCGACACCGACAUGCGGAUGCGAGACAGCAGAGGCAACAUAGCGGCUGAAAGAGUGGGGGCGAAACAGGAUCGACGCAUGUGGUAAAGGCAGUAUUUUCGCUCGGUAUGGUACCCGCCGUUAUCGGGCCAUGUAGUAGUUGCAAACGACAACACUGCUCCGGUCGCAAUCGCAGCCUAACGGCAGCGGGAGUAACCGAUCUUAAAGUCCAGUCCGCUUGAGCUCGGGCUGGCGGGGUUUGGAACGCACCUGGCAACAGAAGCGUUCCGCU
rnacentral:tmRNA from 2 species